rnacentral:rRNA from 1 species
GAGUUGUAUCUCACGAUUCGCCCUUAGAGUUUGAUCCUGGCUCAGGAUAAACGCUGGCGGCGUGCCUCACACAUGCAAGUCGAACGCGCUCGGGGAAACCCGAGGGAGUGGCGGACGGGUGAGUAACACGUGGGUACCUACCCUGUGGUGAGGAAUACCGGCGAGAAAUCGCCGACAAUGCCGCAUAGGUUUCCUUAACAGGAAACAAAGCUCGGCAACGGGCGCCAUGGGAAGGGCCUGCGGCCGAUUAGCUGGUUGGUAGGGUAAAAGCCUACCAAGGCGACGAUCGGUAGCUGGUCUGAGAGGAUGGUCAUCCACACUGGGAUUGAGAACGGCCCAGACUCCUACGGGGGGCAGCAGUGAGGAAUUUUCCUCAAUGGGGGCAACCCUGAACGAGCAACGCCGCGUGCAGGAAGACGGCCUUCGGGUUGUAAACUGCUUUUCUCUGGCACGAGAACGGACGGUACCAGAGGAAUCAGCCCCGGCUAACUACGUGCCAGCAUCCGCGAUAAUACGUAUGGGGCAAGCGUUGUGCGGAGUUACUGGGCGUAAAGCGCGCGCUGGCGGUCUGCCAAGUUCGGAGUGACAGUUUCCGGCUUAACUGGGAAAGGUCUUCGAAAACUGGUGGACUUGAGGACUUGACGGGGAGACCGAACUCAGCGUGGAGCGGUGUAAUGCGUAGAGAUCCGGAGGAACACCCUAGGACGAAUGCGGGCUCCUGUCAAGUUCCUGACUCUCGGGUGCGACAGCUACGGGAGCGAACAGGAGUUGAUACCCCCGUAAUCCUAAUCGUCAACAAUGACCACUAGGCAUGGGGAGGAUCGACCCCCUCCGUGCCGCAGCUAACGCAUUAAGCAUUCUGUCUGGGGAGUACUGUUCCAGAGUGACACUCAUAGCAUUUACGGGUACCCGCCCCAGCCAGC